rnacentral:rRNA from 1 species
ACCUCAAGUCAAGUGAGAAUACCCGCUGAACUUAAGCAUAUCAAUAAGCGGAGGAAAAGAAACUAACAAGGAUUCCCUCAGUAACGGCGAGUGAACCGGGAAAAGCUCAAAUUUAAAAUCGCUUGGGUUUACCUGAGUGAGUUGUAAUUUGAAGAAAGUGUUUCGACUUUUCGGGUUUGAUCCAAAUCCUUUGGGAUGAGGUAUCAUAGAGGGUGAGAAUCCCGUUCAUGAUUGAACCUGAGUUGUCAAUGAUUCAUUCUCUAAGAGUCGAGUUGUUUGGGAUUGCAGCUCAAAAUGGGUGGUAAAUUUCACCUAAGGCUAAAUAUCUGCGAGAGACCGAUAGCGAACAAGUACCGUGAGGGAAAGAUGAAAAGAACUUUGAAAAGAGAGUUAAAAAGUACGUGAAAUUGUUGAAAGGGAAACGAUUGAAGUCAGUCAUGCUAGCGAGGAAUCAACUUGGUGGUGUGAGUCUCUCAUCUCCUCCGUGUGCACUUCCUCGUCUGGCAGGUUAGCAUCAAUUUUGAUUGUCAUCAAAUAAUUGGGGUAAUGUGGCUUCGCUUCGGUGGAGUGUUAUAGACCCUGGUGGAUGUGGCGAUUGGGAUUGAGGAUUGCAGCGGAUGCCUCUUGGCUAGUCACCUGGCUUCUGGCGGUCACCUCGCUUUUGACAGCUUGCUGAUGAUCGUGGGACCCGACAGUCUAGAAGUUAGAGUGAUCUUAAAUUCGCUAAGGAUGCUGACGUAAUGGCUUUAAACGACCCGUCUUGAAACACGGACCA